rnacentral:rRNA from 1 species
GACGAACGCUGGCGGCGUGCUUAACACAUGCAAGUCGAACGGAAAGGCCCUGCUUUUGUGGGGUGCUCGAGUGGCGAACGGGUGAGUAACACGUGAGUAACCUGCCCUUGACUUUGGGAUAACUUCAGGAAACUGGGGCUAAUACCGGAUAGGAGCUCCUGCUGCAUGGUGGGGGUUGGAAAGUUUCGGCGGUUGGGGAUGGACUCGCGGCUUAUCAGCUUGUUGGUGGGGUAGUGGCUUACCAAGGCUUUGACGGGUAGCCGGCCUGAGAGGGUGACCGGCCACAUUGGGAUUGAGAUAGGAGCCAGACGCCUACGGGAGGCAGCAGUGGGGAAUAUAGCACAAUGGGCGGAAGCCGGAUGCAGCAACGCCGCGUGCGGGAUGACGGCCUUCGGGGUGUAAACCGCUUGCGCCUGUGACGAAGCGUGAGUGACGGUAAUGGGUAAAGAAGCACCGGCUAACUACGUG